GAUGAACGCUGGCGGCGUGCCUAAUACAUGCAAGUCGAGCGAACAGACGAGGAGCUUGCUCCUCUGACGUUAGCGACGGACGGGUGAGUAACACGUGGAUAACCUACCUAUAAGACUGGGAUAACUUUGGGAAACCGGAGCUAAUACCGGAUAAUAUAUUGAACCGCAUGGUUCAAUAGUGAAAGACGGUUUUGCUGUCACUUAUAGAUGGAUCCGCGCCGCAUUAGCUAGUUGGUAAGGUAACGGCUUACCAAGGCGACGAUGCGUAGCCGACCUGAGAGGGUGAUCGGCCACACUGGAACUGAGACACGGUCCAGACUCCUACGGGAGGCAGCAGUAGGGAAUCUUCCGCAAUGGGCGAAAGCCUGACGGAGCAACGCCGCGUGAGUGAUGAAGGUCUUCGGAUCGUAAAACUCUGUUAUUAGGGAAGAACAAAUGUGUAAGUAACUAUGCACGUCUUGACGGUACCUAAUCAGAAAGCCACGGCUAACUACGUG
rnacentral:rRNA from 1 species